UUACCUUUCUUGGCCGGCAGUAUCCCAUAUUUGAGCUUUGACAAUCUUGUCGUCGACUUGAAUGCUUCGUGUGGCGAAUUCAACGCCGAUGGUCGAGCGUGAGUCGUGGCUGAAGUCAUUUUUGGUGAAUCGGGAAAGCAGAUUUGAUUUUCCAACACCGGAAUCUCCUGUUAAGACAACUUUGAACAGAUAAAAAUAUCCAACAUAGAUUGUUUGGCUGUUCCUAGAACUUUGGAUGAAAAGGAAAUCUGUACUCUUCAAAUUGUUUUCCUUUUUGAGUUUUGUUUAUUUUAUAUCUUAUAACUCUGACGUUUCCUAAAUUGGAGAAGAGACCAAUGUUUACGAAUGUUGAAUUUAUGAUGAGACCAAGAUGAUUCAGAGAAUCAAGGACUCUCAUCUAUUUUACUUGUCAUAUCAAUUUUUGGGAUAAAUCUAAAUAUAUACUUUUUGUGAUGA